rnacentral:rRNA from 1 species
GACGAACCGUGCGAACGUUAUUCGGAAUUACUGGGCUUAAAGCGCGUGUAGGCGGGCCGGCACGUCCGACGCUGAAAGCCCCCGGCUCAACCGGGAAGUGGCGGGGAUACGACCGGCCUCGAGGGGGUAGAGGGACCUGGAACUUCCGGUGGAGCGGUGAAAUGCGUUGAGAUCGGAAGGAACGCCCGUGGCGAAAGCGAGGUCCUGGACCCUUCUGACGCUGAGACGCGAAAGCCGG